UACGUAGGGGGCAAGCGUUGUCCGGAAUCAUUGGGCGUAAAGAGCGUGUAGGCGGCCAUGCAGGUCCGUUGUGAAAACUCGAGGCUCAACCUCGAGACGCCGAUGGAAACCGCAUGGCUAGAGUCCGGAAGAGGAGAGUGGAAUUCCUGGUGUAGCGGUGAAAUGCGCAGAUAUCAGGAAGAACACCCGUGGCUAAGGCGGCUCUCUAGUACGGUACUGACGCUGAGGCGCGAAAGCCGGGGGAGCAAACAGG
rnacentral:rRNA from 1 species